UACGUAGGGGGCAAGCGUUAUCCGGAUUUACUGGGUGUAAAGGGGGCGCAGACGGCAGCGCAAGCCAGGAGUGAAAGCCCGGGGCCCAACCCCGGGACUGCUCUUGGAACUGCGCGGCUGGAGUGCAGGAGGGGCAGGCGGAAUUCCUGGUGUAGCGGUGAAAUGCGUAGAUAUCAGGAGGAACACCGGUGGCGGAGGCGGCCUGCUGGACUGCGACUGACGUUGAGGCCCGAAAGCGUGGGGAGCAAACAGG
rnacentral:rRNA from 1 species